rnacentral:rRNA from 1 species
UACGAAGGGGGCUAGCGUUGCUCGGAAUCACUGGGCGUAAAGCGCACGUAGGCGGAUUGUUAAGUCAGGGGUGAAAUCCUGGAGCUCAACUCCAGAACUGCCUUUGAUACUGAAGAUCUUGAGUGCGGGAGAGGUGAGUGGAACUGCGAGUGUAGAGGUGAAAUUCGUAGAUAUUCGCAAGAACACCAGUGGCGAAGGCGGCUCACUGGCCCGAUACUGACGCUGAGGCACGAAAGCGUGGGGAGCGAACAGG